AUCUAGUAUAAGCAUUAUACCGUGAAACUGCGAAUGGCUCAUUAAAUCAGUUAUCGUUUAUUUGAUAGUACCUUACUACUUGGAUAACCGUGGUAAUUCUAGAGCUAAUACAUGCUGAAAACCCCAACUUCGGGAGGGGUGUAUUUAUUAGAUAAAAAACCAACGCCCUUCGGGGCUUCUUGGUGAUUCAUGAUAACUUCACGGAUCGCAUGGCCUUGCGCCGGCGACGGUUCAUUCAAAUUUCUGCCCUAUCAACUUUCGAUGGUAAGGUAUUGGCUUACCAUGGUUUCAACGGGUAACGGGGAAUUAGGGUUCGAUUCCGGAGAGRGAGCCUGAGANACNNGCUACCACAUCCAAGGAAGGCAGCAGGCGCGCAAAUUACCCAAUCCCGACACGGGGAGGUAGUGACAAUAAAUACUGAUACAGGGCUCUUUUGGGUCUUGUAAUUGGAAUGAGUACAAUUUAAACCUCUUAACGAGGAACAAUUGGAGGGCAAGUCUGGUGCCAGCAGCCGCGGUAAUUCCAGCUCCAAUAGCGUAUAUUAAAGUUGUUGCAGUUAAAAAGCUCGUAGUUGAAACUUGGGCCUGGCUGGCAGGUCCGCCUCACCGCGUGUACUUGUCCGGCCGGGCCUUUCCUUCUGGAGAACCUCAUGCCCUUCACUGGGUGUGUUGGGGAACCAGGACUUUUACUUUGAAAAAAUUAGAGUGUUCAAAGCAGGCCUUUGCUCGAAUACGUUAGCAUGGAAUAAUAGAAUAGGACGUGCGGUCCUAUUUUGUUGGUUUCUAGGACCGCCGUAAUGAUUAAUAGGGACAGUCGGGGGCAUCAGUAUUCAAUUGUCAGAGGUGAAAUUCUUGGAUUUAUUGAAGACUAACUACUGCGAAAGCAUUUGCCAAGGAUGUUUUCAUUAAUCAGUGAACGAAAGUUAGGGGAUCGAAGACGAUCAGAUACCGUCGUAGUCUUAACCGUAAACUAUGCCGACUAGGGAUCGGGCGAUGUUCUUUUUCUGACUCGCUCGGCACCUUACGAGAAAUCAAAGUUUUUGGGUUCUGGGGA
rnacentral:rRNA from 1 species